GGAGUGCUUGCACUCUGUGAAACAAGAUACAGGCUAGCGGCGGACGGGUGAGUAACACGUGGGUAACCUGCCCAAGAGAUCGGGAUAACACCUGGAAACAGAUGCUAAUACCGGAUAACAACAGAUGAUGCCUAUCAACUGUUUAAAAGAUGGUUCUGCUAUCACUCUUGGAUGGACCUGCGGUGCAUUAGCUAGUUGGUAGGGUAACGGCCUACCAAGGCGAUGAUGCAUAGCCGAGUUGAGAGACUGAUCGGCCACAUUGGGACUGAGACACGGCCCAAACUCCUACGGGAGGCAGCAGUAGGGAAUCUUCCACAAUGGACGCAAGUCUGAUGGAGCAACGCCGCGUGAGUGAAGAAGGGUUUCGGCUCGUAAAGCUCUGUUGUUGGUGAAGAAGGACAGGGGUAGUAACUGACCUUUGUUUGACGGUAAUCAAUUAGAAAGUCACGGCUAACUACGUGCCAGCAGCCGCGGUAAUACGUAGGUGGCAAGCGUUGUCCGGAUUUAUUGGGCGUAAAGCGAGUGCAGGCGGCUCGAUAAGUCUGAUGUGAAAGCCUUCGGCUCAACCGGAGAAUUGCAUCAGAAACUGUCGAGCUUGAGUACAGAAGAGGAGAGUGGAACUCCAUGUGUAGCGGUGAAAUGCGUAGAUAUAUGGAAGAACACCGGUGGCGAAGGCGGCUCUCUGGUCUGUUACUGA
rnacentral:rRNA from 1 species